rnacentral:rRNA from 1 species
CAGCCACAACAGCCCGCUGGCUCGCACGGGGUGCUCUUCAUCGAGUGUCCCGCGUGGCCGGCAGAGUUUACUUUGAAAAAAUUAGAGUGCUCAAAGCAGGCUACACUGACGGCCUGAAUGCCUAUGCAUGGAAUAAUGGAAUAGGACCUCGGUUCUAUUUUGUCGGUUUUCUGAACCCGAGGUAAUGACUAAUAGGAACAGGCGGGGGCAUUCGUAUUGCGACGCUAGAGGUGAAAUUCUUGGACCGUCGCAAGACGAACUACUGCGAAAGCAUUUGCCAAGGAUGUUUUCAUUAAUCAAGAACGAAAGUUAGAGGUUCGAAGGCGAUCAGAUACCGCCCUAGUUCUAACCAUAAACGAUGCUGACCAGCGAUCCGCCGGUGUUAUUCCCAUGACCCGGCGGGCAGCUUCCGGGAAACCAAAGUCUUUGGGUUCCGGGGGAAGUAUGGUUGCAAAGCUGAAACUUAAAGGAAUUGACGGAAGGGCACCACCAGGAGUGGAGCCUGCGGCUUAAUUUGACUCAACACGGGGAACCUCACCAGGCCCAGACACCGGAAGGAUUGACAGAUUGAGAGCUCUUUCUUGAUUCGGUGGGUGGUGGUGCAUGGCCGUUCUUANUUGGUGGAGCGAUUUGUCUGGUUAAUUCCGAUAAC